rnacentral:rRNA from 1 species
AUACGUAGGGGGCGAGCGUUGUCCGGAAUGAUUGGGCGUAAAGGGCGCGUAGGCGGCCCGGUAAGUCUGGAGUGAAAGUCCUGUUUUUAAGAUGGGAAUUGCUUUGGAUACUGUCGGGCUUGAGUGCAGGAGAGGUAAGUGGAAUUCCCAGUGUAGCGGUGAAAUGCGUUGAGAUUGGGAUGAACACCAGUGGCGAAGGCGAAUUACUGGACUGUAACUGACGCUGAGGCGCGAAAGUGUGGGGAGCAAACAGGAUUAGAUACCCUGGUAGUCCACACUGUAAACGAUGAAUGCUAGGUGUAGGGGGUAUCGACCCCUUCUGUGCCGCAGUCAACACAAUAAGCAUUCCGCCUGGGGAGUACGGCCGCAAGGUUGAAACUCAAAUGAAUUGACGGGG